GCCUCAGCCUCCUGAGUAGCUGAGACCAUAGGCCUGUACCAUCAUGCCCGGCUAAUGUUUGUAUUUUUGUAGAGACAGGGUUUCUCCAUGUUGCCCAGUCUGUUCUCGAACUCGUGAGCUAAAGCUACCUGCCCACCUGGAACUCCCAAAGUGCUAAGAUUACAUGGUAACUCUCAGAAGAGACUGGAAUUGAUACAUUGAUUUGUACCUGAAUGAAAAGCUGCCUCAUAGAAACCCAAGAGGAAGCCAAUAUUUCGAACAGUAUAAUUGUAAGACAGUGUUUGAAAUGCUGGAGGAAGCUUCAGUCAAAGCCAGGCCUACCUAUGAACUUUUCAGUUGCAUGAGGCAUUGUUAUUACAGUCUUACGGUGUAUCCAGAAAAUUGUCUGUAAGUUUUAGGAGCAACUCAAACUUAUUUCUUUCAUUUGUUUUCCUCUUGGCAAAGAAUCUCAAUAAAUAUGAUUUUUUAACCACAAUA